rnacentral:rRNA from 1 species
CCCCCCCCCCAUAAGAGGUCCAGCCUGCCCAGUGACCCAGUUCAACGGCCGCGGUAGCCUAACCGUGCGAAGGUAGCGUAAUCACUUGUCUUCUAAAUAAAGACUAGUAUGAAAGGCAUCACGAGAAUUCAACUGUCUCCUUUUUUCAAUCAGUGAACCUAAUCUCCCUGUGAAAAAGCAGGAAUUUACAAAUUAGACGAGAAGACCCUAUGAAGCUUUAAACACUAGUCAACUGCUAGCAUUACUAUACCCCGGCCCCAAAUUUAUGCACCAUGAUCACAUGUUUUUGGUUGGGGUGACCGCGGAGAAUAACCUAACCUCCACAAUGAAAACCCUCAAGCCACAACUUUAAGUAUCAACAAAUUGACAUCCAUUGACCCAAUAUAUUGAUUAAUGAAC